CUAGUAUUUUGUUUAUCCUGGUUUCACAUUAUCAGUAGCUAACCUGUUGGAUAUCACUUUUGUGUGUGUGUUUUUUUUUAAUUAUGUAGUGUUGUAAAAUUUUAACUACCAUCAAUGGCAAGCUCUACUAAGAUAUUACAUCGGUAGCUUUUCUAAAUUAUACGUUAUGCUGGAACUUGUGUAAUAAUUACCGGAGGUUUUUGCUCAAAAAAAAAAAAACCAACAAAAUGGGGACUGUCGCAGAUUUCCUGAUUUAGAAACUUGGGAUUUUAAUUACUAGUUAAAGACCUCGCUUCUUGGGAAGAAAUCUUCAAAAUCCAGUCUCUCAAAAGGAAGACAGAAGCUGGUAAGAAAGUACUGGUUAUCUUCAUACGAUGAAGAUUGGCAAUGCUGCAUAUUCUAGUUUUUGUUGGAUUACCAUAUGCAGAAUUUCGCAAUUAGGCUCACAGGGCAUUUGGAUCCCUCAAGGGCAUUACAAGGCAGCACUUAUUUGUGGUCACUUGGUUAGAACAAAGGCUAUUGCUACUUUAUGCUGUACAUGGGGAAUUGUUAAGUUCCCAAUACUAGCUCGUGGUCAAAAAGGUCAGGCGUGCAGAUAUUGUCAUUAUAGUUCAGGAAAAACAUCUAAGACUGCUACUGAUUUCAGCAGGGUUCUAAAAGCUUGGUUUCUUGCUGAGCGAGCAUAUCUUCUCGGCUGAAGAAUUUAUCAAAUAAUGCAUUUGUUCUGAAGUUCUUUCUUAGUGGCAAGCUUUGCCAAGGUCAGUCACAGCUUAGCUUGGCAUAGCCUAGCCUAGACAAUGCAAAAUGCAUAAAGUGAAGUUCCUGGAGUCCAAGUAGGGUGAAACUUUGCCAGGCCGACUGUAUACCCAUUUCCCAGGGCUGCUCCCGCAUAUCCUCCCAACCUGCCUCCAUUAUCGGGAAGCAUAUAGGUUUUCCAUAACAUUGCCCCAGUUCGUAGGGCUAGCUUUACAACGCUGCCUCUGAAAGUGCAGCAUUGCUCUGGUGGUAAUCCUUCCUCUAGAGAUGAAACUCCUACAUAGUAGGCCCUGCAAGCAAAUCAGAUCCUGUGAUCAGAACCCUGGGACGGGGAUCUAGUGUAGUAGACCAAACAAGUCUCCCAUUUGAUCGUGCAACAGCAAUCACUAUCGCUGGUCCAUAUAUCCCUACAAUCAACAGGUCCCCAUCAACUGUCGGGGUCGAUCUCGAGACCGUAACAUUUACAACAACUCCAGUGCCAGAUUGUCCAGUUAACUCGCUGAGAUUCUGUCUCCAUAUUAGAGCACCGUUGAAUGCAUUCACUGCAUACAAAUAUCCAUUCCAUGAUGGGAAGUAGACUACUCCAUUUGCAACAGCUGGAGUUGCUGAUAUGUCUUUGCCAGCAAAGAAUGACCAUCUUAAUGCUAAGUUCCUGACAGUUAGCGGGUUGAGAAGUAUUUCUCCAGCAGCAUACCUUCUGUUAGUUAAGUCACCUCCAUGAUUUAUCCACUGAGAAUCAUAUGGCAGAACUUUAUGUUACUAAUUAAACACUUUGUUUCAGGGCCGAAAUUUAUGAGAUAAUGAAUAAAGAUGAUGAUACAAAAAUGGAGCUUGAGAAAAAUGAUGAAACUUACAGCAGCAGCUGCACAAUCCAUGGUUGCAAAAGAACACAUAGCCACGAGAAGAAUGACUCCGAAGCCAUUACUGGGGAGUCUGGGUACGGGGCAUGGCAAGGAAACUAUUGAAUGUUAAACCAACAGGUGGGAUUAUCUGGGAUUCCCUGGUUCAAGGGAAUGUUUGAAGGUCGCAAUAGAAUCCCAGUUGAAUAGCACAGGUAUAGAUGAGGGGCUAAACCUGCGGCUGAACGACACCACCACUGAGGUCAGCUAUCUAGUGCUUCUCAACCUGUGGCGGAGUCCAACCUGAAGCCCUAACCUCCGAGCCCACACACUUCAUCGGUGACUACUUCUUUCCACCUGGAGUUGUGGGUUGACACGUUUGGGGAGAGUUCCUAAAGCUAUGCAUAUCACCCGGAUAUGGCCGAUUGCAGUUCAAAUUACCAGCAACCGCAAUCAUCAAUGAUGGUUGAUAUGUUUGGAUUGACACCCCUGUAUUCUGUGUACUCCACCUUGCCCGACCAAAGCUUCAACCCGGCAUACGAUUUUUCUGAUGUGUUGAAUACACCUUAAGGGUCGUACUGUUAGAGUAUGCCCAAAGAUCAAUCAUGAGAUGGUUGUAAUAACAUACUUGAUUUAUCAUGUUUAUUAAUAUAAGGCGUUACCAUUAUUAUUUCAGUUUA